rnacentral:rRNA from 1 species
AACGAACGCUGGCGGCAGGCUUAACACAUGCAAGUUGAGCGCCCCGCAAGGGGAGCGGCAGACGGGUGAGUAACGCGUGGGAAUCUACCCAUCCCUACGGAAUAGCUCCGGGAAACUGGAAUUAAUACCGUAUACGCCCUACGGGGGAAAGAUUUAUCGGGGAUGGAUGAGCCCGCGUUGGAUUAGCUAGUUGGUGGGGUAAAGGCCUACCAAGGCGACGAUCCAUAGCUGGUCUGAUAGGAUGAUCAGCCACAUUGGGACUGAGACACGGCCCAAACUCAUACGGGAGGCAGCAGUGGGGAAUAUUUGACAAUGGGGGCAACCCUGAUCCAGCCAUGCCGCGUGAGUGAUGAAGGCCUUAGGGUUGUAAAGCUCUUUCACCGGGGAAGAUAAUGUCGGUACCCGGAGAAGAAGCCCCGGCUAACUUCGUGCCAGCCGCCGCAGUAA